UACGGAGGGUGCAAGCGUUAAUCGGAAUUACUGGGCGUAAAGGGUGCGUAGGCGGUUUGACAAGUCUGAUGUGAGAUCUAUGGGCUCAACCCAUAGUCUGCAUCGGAAACUGUCGGGCUUGAGUAUGGGAGAGGUGAGUGGAAUUUCCGGUGUAGCGGUGAAAUGCGUAGAUAUCGGAAGGAACACCUGUGGCGAAAGCGGCUCACUGGACCAUUACUGACGCUGAGGCACGAAAGCUAGGGGAGCAAACAGG
rnacentral:rRNA from 1 species